GACGAACGCUGGCGGCGUGCUUAACACAUGCAAGUCGAACGGAAAGGCCCUGCUUGCAGGGUACUCGAGUGGCGAACGGGUGAGUAACACGUGGGUGCUCUGCCCUGCACUUCGGGAUAAGCCUGGGAAACUGGGUCUAAUACCGGAUAGGAGCCAUUUUUAGUGUGAUGGUUGGAAAGUUUUUUCGGUGUGGGAUGAGCUCGCGGCCUAUCAGCUUGUUGGUGGGGUAAUGGCCUACCAAGGCGGCGACGGGUAGCCGGCCUGAGAGGGUGGACGGCCACAGUGGGACUGAGAUACGGCCCAGACUCCUACGGGAGGCAGCAGUGGGGAAUAUUGCACAAUGGGCGCAAGCCUGAUGCAGCGACGCCGCGUGGGGGAUGACGGCCUUCGGGUUGUAAACUCCUUUCGCUAGGGACGAAGCUUUUUGUGACGGUACCUAGAUAAGAAGCACCGGCUAACUACGUG
rnacentral:rRNA from 1 species